rnacentral:lncRNA from 1 species
UCAGUUUUGUGGCCGCCGGGUCGAACUUUUGGGCCUCCACCUCCGACCACAAUGAUAUAAUUGCCAUCUUCUUUGAGUCUCGGAUCACUAGAGGGGUUCCCUUGUCAGCAUACUCGUGGGCAAUGUAUUGUGUAAUCGCCCUUGAUUCUGCAUGUCAAAAGGUGCAUAGCUGAUCUUAUAUGCACAAGCUCAUAAUUCAUAUAUGUUGUGUGUGAAUUUGAUGUCACGACUACAACAGGUAUUCCAAGCCAAUCAAGAACGGACAUGUAUUUUAACUCUUUUUCAUAUGAAUGUCCUUGAUGGGUUUGUGAUACCCCGCAUUCCAGAUACAGGUAAGUUUUUCUCAAUGCGAAUGAAUCAAAAACAAAUUUAUCUUAUAUAAACAUAUUCAUAUUUCAUAUAUGCUAUGUGUGAAUUUGAUGUGAAUGAACUGAUAUAUGUCCUACUGUGACAGUGAUUGAUUGAUUUUGGAUACCGUUACAAUGACAUCUCAUUCCAGUUACAGAUAAGUUUAUGACGCGUGAGCGAGCUAAACACAAACUUACCAAAGAGCUUAAGAUCUCCGUCUUCGAAAGCUGGAACUUGACCAAAUGGCUGCAUCAAUUGAAGCAAAGAAAUGUGAGAUUUACUGACCAUAAAAAAAUACUUGAUAGUUUUGUUCUUCAUGUUCUCAUUGUAAUCAUAUACUUACAUUGAGGGAUAUGAAGGGCUCCUUUUUGUGUUCACCAGCUCUCAUGUCGAUUGGAACAAGCUCGAAUUCGAUGUCUUUCUCGUAGAGAGUAGCAAAAACUCGCAUUGCAGCGGUCGAAAUAACGUUUCCGUGGACCUUGAUGGCAGCCAUGACUCUGAGGAAUUGAAGUAAGAAAUUUGAGCAACUGAGAAAGAGGUGUUGUGAUUUGGACCCUAAUAUGGCCUAGUAUUUAUAAGACAAUGACCAUUGCGGAUAAGGAUUAAGUGCUUCUGAAAAAAGUAGCAUUUAGCUAAAGCUAAUACGUGGUUUGGGUGGAAGCUUUCAAUUAUUUUUUUUGGAUUCGCUCAAGGGGAUUUCGUAUGCACCCAUGUCACUCGGAAAGGGAUCUUCUCAAGAUUUUUUUUCUUUCUAAUCCAUCAAAUUAAAGGAUCUGUACGCUAAAAUUUAAUCUAACGAUUACAAAUAGAUGUUCACUUUAAAAAUUAUAUUAGUUUUAAUCAUUAGAUCAAAUUUUAACUGUACGAAUCCGAUGAUUUGGUAGAUUAAGAGGAAGGAACCUGUCACUCACUACCCUUCAGUCUUCUUAAAAUGCAAAAGAUAGUCCAAAUACGACUUUCCAAUAAAGCAACUGCAAGUCAAAAUAGGACUUUUAUAAAAGCAAGGUUGUAGCCGUGCUUCCAAGAACUUGAGGUCUAGAUUCAGAUAAUUUAAUUUAAUUUAUUGGAAAAAAACAUAUUUUUAUAUUUACGAUUGGGGUGGGCAGUGGAGCUGGCCAUGCUCCUUCACCAUACCAAAUAAAUUAUUUUCUCUUUGUCAGAUAUUGCACAUGUAAUUGUUUAGGGUAUGGAAUAAACUACGAGAUACGGUUUUAGUGCAUGCUGUUUAUUUAUGUUUUCUAAUUAAAAAUAUAUAAUGUGUGAAACUCACUUUUUAAGAAAUGCAUAUGUAGCCAGAGAUAUUUUAUAUUUUUUUAAUGUGUUCAGAAUAUAGAACGGCACGCUAUAUACUAUUAUGGAAGUGGAUAGAAUUUUUUUUUUGAAUGUUCCUCCAUUAGAUUAGUAUAAUAGCAAAUGAUAUAUGUGCCCGUAGUCCAAACAUUAAAAAUCUCUAAGGGUCUGUUUGGUAUUCAAUUUGAAUCCAACAUUUUAAACUCAAAAACAAUUUUCAAGUUUUAGGCCUUAAAAACAUGUUUGGUAGGAUUAUUUUAAAAAACUAAACUCAAGACUAACUAAAAAAUAUAGUUUAUUUUCUAAAAACAUAAAAAGUGAUAUUUUAGAGUUUGUAAACUUAAACUCACUCAUUUUUUUUUCUCUCACUCUUCCCCUCUCACUCCAAAUCUAUGUCUCUCUUUCUUUUCUUCUUUCUCUCCCCUCUUUUUUUUGUUUACUUUUUUCGUAUCUCCUCCAAUCUACUCUCUUCAUUCUCUCGGUUCUUUCUCUCACUCCUCUUCCUCUCUAUCUCGUCCGAUCCUCUCUUCUUUCUCUUUCCUUUAAUCAUCCCUUACUUUCUUUUCUCCUCUCUCCUCUUUCUCCCUCUCCUGCGACCCUAUCUUUUUAGAUCUCUUUGUCUAGUUUAAGUCAUAAGAUUUAAAUUUUUUAAAUCGCAAACCAAUCAAGUUUUUUAGUCUUAAAGAAAAUUGUAAUGUUCUUAAGAAAUGUUUUGAGGAAUGAUAAAAAAUUUCAAAUAGGAUACCAAACAUGCCCUAAUUUACGUGUGCUUCCAAGAACUGGCCAUCUAGAUUAAAAUAAUAUAAUCUAAUUACACAAUUUAAUUCACGAUUAGGGUGGAUAGUGGAGCUGGUCACGCUCCUCCAUACACACAAAAAUUAUUGUUUAGGACAUGCCGAAUUCUUAAGGAGUAAACUACGAGAUACGUUUUUCGCGUACGUUGUUUAUAUGUUUUCUGAUAAGAAAAAAUAGUGUGUGAAAAUCACUUUGUUAGACUAUGGGCGCAUAUAAACGCAUUUCGGCUUGGUGGCCUCCUUUAAUGUAAUUAGAUUUUCUUUACCUGAAAGACAAAAAAUAUGGAAGCAACUUUAGUUACCUCGUUGGAAACUUACAUUUAUGGAUGCUUGAUCGAAGAUAAAUGAUUUCAAGGUGUGUGAGAAGGCCGCUCUUAAGCGUAGAUUCGUUACUUGGAGAUAAUCAGCGUAAUAGGUUAUGGUGGAUUACCCUACACUUGUAAUAAUCCGAUCGAUGAACAACAGCUUUGUUAUUCUUUUGGAUAAAAAUCUUAGAGAAUUUGAUGAGCUCAAGUGAUUUUUUAAGAGGUUGGGAAACACUUAUAGGGAGUUUGGAAGAGAAAGGAAUAGUUGAAUGAGGAUAUUUCCCCCCAAAGAAUAAUAGGUAUAUAUAGGAAAAUUAAUUUUGAUACAACAAUCUGGAACGUUACUGCAAUCUAUUUUGUGUCAAGUCUUCCGUUAGCUACAAACACUACAUAUCAAACACCAAGUCUUCGAUUUUUCUGUAAGAAAAUUCAAUUUGAUGUUAAGAAAAAAGCAAAUGUUAAACGCCUAGUGUUAUGACUUAGUUUAUACAGAAAAUAAAUUGACAAUUGAAAUCAUAACGGAUGUUUUAAACAAAGAUAACAUUAGAAGAUCAAAGUAACUGAAGAAAACAGCCUAACCAAUAGUGAUAUGCAUCCUUAAUGACAUUAAGAGAAAAGCUGUUACCCACAAUUAUAGGAGAGAUUUUUUCUUGUGCUCGUAACACAGGAUGGUACGUCACAUGUCAUUAUACAAUUUGAGGGAUAUUUGAAAAUGCAAAACUUUCUUUUACUUAUAAAAUAACAUGUGACAUACCACCCUAUGUUCCUAGCACACUGAAAAUCUCUUGAAUUAUAGAUGUAACUAGUCAAACAAUGGAAAGAAGUGCUUACUUGUACUCUAUAUUGCAUGGAUCACAUUUUUCAUUUAGUGGUUAUUCAAUAAAUAGACAAAUAUUGUUAUAUAAACUUUAGUAAUGUUAAUCAAACGGUUAUACGAUAAACUUUAGCAACGUUAAUCGAACGGUUAUACAAUUUUUGCUUUGAUUGAUUUUUGCAGUGUUAAUCUUUUAAAGGUCAUUUUGGUUCUGGUCUUUAAUCAACCUAAUUGUUAGAUUGAAACCUUGUUUGUUUAAAUAUUUUGAUCAAGGUCCUUAAUUAGUCUCAUUUAAGAGAUUGAACUCAUGCAUAUAUGCAUUUAAUGACACACUGCGACCCGAAAUGUCCACUAGGACUCCGAAUUGAGUUGUGCUGACCGACACUUAGAAGGUGACGAAGCCAUAAAGUGUGAUGAUGUGGAAAAAUGUGAAUAAAUUUAAACCUAAGAGUGUCUAAAUACCAGAGUGCGACAUGAACGGAAAUGAACCCAUUUCACACGGGACGUCAGAGUAUAAGCAAAGUACAAUAGAGUGGAUUGAAAAUCAUACAAUUGAAGGUAACCUCCAAUACCAAGACUUGCCACAAAUCCUCGUAGAUAAGAAAGCUGAGCUAAUAAAACCUGGAAGGUGAAAACCAACCAAGGGUAAGUGGUCCUGGAAAUAAAAUUUUAAUAAAAACCAUAUAAAACAUUAUAACCUCUCGUUACAACAUCCGUAUAGUUUCCAGAAAAAUCAUAAACAUACCACAACACAACAUCUCAUCAGCAAUAUCAAUAUUCGUGUGAUUAAUAACCCAUACUAGCACGCAAGUCGGAGUCACCUAUGGUGACCUGUACGACUGCACCAGUAUCUUAUCAAUCAAUGUUAAUUCAUAAGUCGAAGUCACCUAUAGUGACUUGUACAACUUACCCAUAUAUCAUAAUAUAUGCUAGCUCAUCACAUAUUUCAUCAUAUAUGCUAGCUCAUCACAUAUGCUAACUUAUCACAUAUUUCAUCACAUAUGCUAGUUCAUCACAUAUUUCAUAAAAUAUGCUAGCUCAUCACAUAUGCUAGAUCAUCACAUCUCUCAUCACAUAUGUUAGCUCAUAAGUCGGGAGUCACCUCUUGUGACCUGUACGAUUGAAUCUAUAGCUCAAUAAUUAUACAUGCACACGAGUCGGAACCACCUAAAGUGGUCUGUACGACAGGAUUAGGUGUAAAUAAAUACGCUCAAGUGCUACGAUCACGUGAAGACUGUGCGAAUAAUCGCAGGUCACUUACGAGUUGGAACCACCUAUAGUGGUCUGUACGACAUGAUUGUGCACCUACCUUGAAUCCAAGAUGAGCGUAAGGUGCGAGAGGUGAACAUCAAGAAAAGACUUGGGGUGUAGUUCCGUGGAAUUCGAACCCUCGGACCAAGUUAAUCAGCUUUUAGCACAAUAAGUCGCAUUGUAUUUACAGUUCUUUCAAUAUAUAUAGGUUGUCUUAUUUAAUUGGGUUGUCUCCAAUUUACUGACUGCAUCAAGUUUUUUGGAUGCCGAAAGAUAGGCAUUGCUCUGAUUGCAACCCGGUUAUAUUUUCGAAUCUGAGUUGGAGUCAGUUGAGAUCAAAUUUGGUGGAACACAAACUUCAAACACCAAAAACAGGUUGUAGAAAAUCAAACGAACGUUUGAUAACUAACAUACAUAUUAUUGUAGAUAUAUGACUCUGUUGAGUAAGCUGCAGCAGCAAGCUUUAGUACUUGUUUCACUUUUGCUGGGCAACGACCUUGUUCCAAGCUGGCCUUGCUGUGAUAUACGCCACCCAUGCGCGAACAUGGGGGCGGGAUUCGAACAGCUUCUUCGAUUGUGUUCCCAUCAAGUAAUGUAUGGUGGGAAGGUGGUGAAGAUCAGCCAAAGUGAAGCUUUCACCUGCCAAGUAUUUCGACUGAGCCAGACGAGUCUCAUAUACAUCAAGAACCACAGCCAACUUGGCUUCAUUUUCCUCCACAACUGCCGCGUCUGUGGUCAUUUUAAACAUAGGCUUUAUAGCUAGCUCAUAGGUCAGUUUUGUGGCCGGCGGGUCGAACUUUUGGGCCUCCACCUCCGACCACAAUGAUAUAAUUGCCAUCUUCUUCGAGUCUCGGAUCACCAGAGGGGUUCCCUUGUCAGCAUACUCGUGGGCAAUGUAUUGUGUAAUCGCCCUUGAUUCUGCAUAUCAGAAGGUGCAUAGCUGAUCUUAUAUGCACAAGUUCAUAAUUCAUAUAUGUUGUUUGUGAAUUUGAUGUCACGACUACAACAGCAAUGCCGUAUUCCAAGCCAAUCAAGAACGGACAUGUAUUUUAACUCGUUUUCAUAUGAAUGUCCUUGAUGGGUUUGUGAUACACCGCAUUUCAGAUAUAGGUAAGUUUUUCUCAAUGUGAAUGAAUCAAAAACAAAUUUAUCUUAUAUAAACAUAUUCAUAUUUCAUAUAUGCUAUGUGUGAAUUUGGUGUGAAUGAACUGAUAUAUGUCCUACUGUGACAGUGAUUGAUUGAUUUUGGAUACCGUUACAAUAAUAUCUCAUUCCAGUUACAGAUAAGUUUAUGACGCGUGAGCGAGCUAAACACAAACUUACCAAAGAGCUUAAGAUCUCCAUCUUCGAAAGCUGGAACUUGACCAAAUGGCUGCAUCAAUUGAAGCAAAGAAAUGUGAGAUUUACUGACCAUAAAAAAAUACUUGAUAGUUUUGUUCUUCAUGUUCUCAUUGUAAUCAUAUACUUACAUUGAGGGAUAUGAAGGGCUCCUUUUUGU